rnacentral:rRNA from 1 species
UACGAAGGCCCCAAGCGUUAUCCGGAAUUACUGGGCGUAAAGCGUCUGUAGGUGGUCUGGCAAGUCUUGUGUGAAACUUCGGAGCUCAACUCCGAAUUGCACAGGAAACUAUCAGACUUGAGUGUGGGAGAGGCAAGCAGAACGGUAUGAGUAGGGGUGCAAUCCGUUGAUACAUACCAGAAUACCAAAAGCGAAGGCAGCUUGCUGGAACACAACUGACACUGAGAGACGAAAGCGUGGGGAGCGAAAGGG